AAGGAAGCAAUUGUGCCAAGUACUUUUGUUGCCUUGUUUUUCUCUUCCAGGAAAGUUUUUAAGAUCUAUCUGGUUGAAGUGAUGGGUCAGUCAGAAGCCAACUGCUGUGAUAGUAUCUUUGAAAAACUCACAUGACUUGACUGGGUUGUUUUUCAAUUAUGGAAGUCUUCCUUAAGAAGAUCAUUUAUUAUGGAAUGAUAUUAUGGAAUACAACAUAACUACAAAAGGAGCUGCAAUGAUUAGUCAAACUGCAAACAUUGACACUGUUGUUAUCUGAAGACUGGUGAAGUGAAAUCUACAUCAAAAGCUGGGGUAUGUAUACAUAGGAACU
rnacentral:lncRNA from 1 species